rnacentral:rRNA from 1 species
GACGAACGCUGGCGGCGUGCUUAACACAUGCAAGUCGAGCGGUAAGGCCCUUCGGGGUACACGAGCGGCGAACGGGUGAGUAACGACGUGGUGACCUGCCUCUAGCUCUGGGAUAAGCCUGGGAAACUGGGUCUAAUACCGGAUAUGACUCCACGGCGCAUGUUGUGGGGUGGAAAGCCUUGUGUGGCUAGAGAUGGGCCC